UACGAAGGGGGCUAGCGUUGCUCGGAAUCACUGGGCGUAAAGGGUGCGUAGGCGGGUCUUUAAGUCCGGGGUGAAAUCCUGGAGCUCAACUCCAGAACUGCCUUUGAUACUGAGGAUCUUGGGUUCGGGAGAGGUGAGUGGAACUGCGAGUGUAGAGGUGAAAUUCGUAGAUAUUCGCAAGAACACCAGUGGCGAAGGCGGCUCACUGGCCCGAUACUGACGCUGAGGCACGAAAGCGUGGGGAGCAAACAGG
rnacentral:rRNA from 1 species